rnacentral:rRNA from 1 species
AGGCCAGACUCCUACGGGAGGCAGCAGUGAGGAAUAUUGGUCAAUGGGCGAGAGCCUGAACCAGCCAAGUCGCGUGAAGGAUGACGGCCCUACGGGUUGUAAACUUCUUUUGUCAGGGAGUAAUUGAGUCCACGUGUGGUCUUAGCGAGAGUACCUGAAGAAAAAGCAUCGGCUAACUCCGUGCCAGCAGCCGCGGUAAUACGGAGGAUGCGAGCGUUAUCCGGAUUUAUUGGGUUUAAAGGGUGCGUAGGCGGGAUGCCAAGUCAGCGGUAAAAAUGCGGUGCUCAACGCCGUCGAGCCGUUGAAACUGGCGUUCUUGAGUGGGCGAGAAGUAUGCGGAAUGCGUGGUGUAGCGGUGAAAUGCAUAGAUAUCACGCAGAACUCCGAUUGCGAAGGCAGCAUACCGGCGCCCUACUGACGCUGAGGCACGAAAGCGUGGGUAUCGAACAGGAUUAGAUACCCCAGUAUU